rnacentral:rRNA from 1 species
UCCCAGACUCCUACGGGAGGCAGCAGUGGGGGAUAUUGCACAAUGGGGGGAACCCUGAUGCAGCGACGCCGCGUGGGUGAAGGAGCGUUUCGGCGCGUAAAGCCCUAUCGGCAGGGAAGAAGGAGGACGGUACCUGACUAAGAAGCCCCGGCUAACUACGUGCCAGCAGCCGCGGUAAUACGUAGGGGGCAAGCGUUAUCCGGAUUUACUGGGUGUAAAGGGGGCGCAGACGGCAGCGCAAGGCAGGAGUGAAAGCCCGGGGCCCAGCCCCGGGACUGCUCUUGGAACUGCGCGGCUGGAGUGCAGGAGGGGCAGGCGGAAUUCCUGGCGUAGCGGUGAAAUGCGUAGAUAUUAGGAAGAACACCAGUGGCGAAGGCGGCUUUCUGGACUGAAACUGACGCUGAGGCGCGAAAGCGUGGGGAGCGAACAGGAUUAGAUACCCCCGUA